rnacentral:rRNA from 1 species
GCAAUGGGGGAAACCCUGACGCAGCAACGCCGCGUGGGUGAUGAAGGUCUUCGGAUUGUAAAGCCCUGUUUUCUGGGACGAUAAUGACGGUACUAGAGGAGGAAGCCACGGCUAACUACGUGCCAGCAGCCGCGGUAAUACGUAGGUGGCGAGCGUUGUCCGGAUUUACUGGGCGUAAAGGGUGCGUAGGCGGAUGUUUAAGUGGGAUGUGAAAUCCCCGGGCUUAACCUGGGGGCUGCAUUCCAAACUGGAUAUCUAGAGUGCAGGAGAGGAAAGCGGAAUUCCUAGUGUAGCGGUGAAAUGCGUAGAGAUUAGGAAGAACACCAGUGGCGAAGGCGGCUUUCUGGACUGUAACUGACGCUGAGGCACGAAAGCGUGGGUAGCAAACAGGAUUAGAUACCCUGGUAGUCCACGCCGUAAACGAUGGAUACUAGGUGUAGGGGGUAUCAACUCCCCCUGUGCCGCAGUUAACACAAUAAGUAUCCCGCCUGGGGAGUACGGUCGCAAGAUUAAAACUCAAAGGAAUUGACGGGGGCCCGCACAAGCAGCGGAGCAUGUGGUUUAAUUCGAAGCAACGCGAAGAACCUUACCUGGACUUGACAUCCCUUGCAUAGCCUAGAGAUAGGUGAAGCCCUUC